GCGGAAAUAGUUUUUGAAAUACAAACCCAAAGUAUUUACAUGACAAAAUACACCAAGGCUAUGAGACCUAUCAGACAUAGCUCAUACCUCUGGAGUAUUCUCGGCAGACACCUGUACAAAAACAUUGUCCCAAGAAUUUUACCUUCCCCACGUCGCAUCAAAAAAAUGGUAGGACCCAUCAAAAUAAAAGUCAAGCUGACAAUAUGAGGUAUAGGUACAGUCUUUCAAAUUGAAAUAAAUACAUCCACAAAAGAAAGACAACUAAAC
rnacentral:lncRNA from 1 species